GCUGCUGCUGCUCCACACUCAGGAUGUCAGGGCCACUUUUCUCCCGUCAUUAAGGCUCAUUGUCACCGUGUCCACUGACUGAUGCUAAGUGAGGAGCAGGGAAAGUCUAUCUCCUCAUCCCUAAGUUGUGACAUGCUGUCCCGAUCCCCCACUCAUGCCACUGUCCUGAGACCAGCGCACGGCUCUAUUCUUCUCCGGACUCCAAGUGUGAGACACCUACCACAGCUCCUCCGCAGACAACCUGAAUCUGAGGCCUUGGGGGAAUCCUUCAUCAAUAAACACCCAAACACUUCACAAGAAUAUCUGUCAAUAGAGCUGCGGUGAGUUGGAUGGGUGCCAAUGAGUGCCAUGGGCUCGCCGGUAGAGCUGGAGAAAGUUUGCUUGCGGAGACGCUCGUGGAGGGAGAGGACGUUAAGGUUCACCC
rnacentral:lncRNA from 1 species